rnacentral:rRNA from 1 species
GCGAAGUCGCGAGGCUAAGCUAAUCUCUUAAAGCUUCUCUCAGUUCGGAUUGCAGGCUGCAACUCGCCUGCAUGAAGCCGGAAUCGCUAGUAAUCGCGGAUCAGCACGCCGCGGUGAAUACGUUCCCGGGCCUUGUACACACCGCCCGUCACACCACGAGAGUUUGUAACACCCGAAGUCGGUGAGGUAACCUUUUGGAGCCAGCCGCCUAAGGUGGGAUAGAUGAUUGGGGUGAAGUCGUAACAAGGUAGCCGUAUCGGAAGGUGCGGCUGGAUCACCUCCUUU